rnacentral:sRNA from 1 species
UCGAUCUGUUGCGGGCAGAUGAAAUGUAUAUGAGCAUCGAUACCGCCAGCGGUUAGAAUCUGGCCCUCUCCAGCGAUGACCUCCGUGCUCGGGCCAAUAAUAAUGUCGACCGAUGACUGAGUAUCCGGGUUACCCGCUUUACCAAUCGCCGCGAUUCGACCCUCCUUGAUACCAACAUCUGCUUUUACGAUGCCCCAGAAAUCCACAAUCAAAGCAUUCGUGAUCACUGUAUCAGCCGACUGCGAGUCAUCGGCCUGACUCUGUCCCAUCCCGUCUCG